UACAGAGGGGGCAAGCGUUGUUCGGAAUUACUGGGCGUAAAGGGCGCGUAGGCGGCCGGUUAAGUCGAACGUGAAAUCCCCGGGCUCAACCCGGGAACUGCGUCCGAUACUGGCAGGCUUGAAUCCGGGAGAGGGAUGCGGAAUUCCAGGUGUAGCGGUGAAAUGCGUAGAUAUCUGGAGGAACACCGGUGGCGAAGGCGGCAUCCUGGACCGGCAUUGACGCUGAGGCGCGAAAGCCAGGGGAGCAAACGGG
rnacentral:rRNA from 1 species